rnacentral:rRNA from 1 species
GAUGAACGCUGGCGGCGUGCCUAAUACAUGCAAGUCGAGCGAACGGACGAGAAGCUUGCUUCUCUGAUGUUAGCGGCGGACGGGUGAGUAACACGUGGAUAACCUACCUAUAAGACUGGGAUAACUUCGGGAAACCGGAGCUAAUACCGGAUAAUAUUUUGAACCGCAUGGUUCAAAGGUGAAAGACGGUCUUGCUGUCACUUAUAGAUGGAUCCGCGCUGCAUUAGCUAGUUGGUAAGGUAACGGCUUACCAAGGCAACGAUGCAUAGCCGACCUGAGAGGGUGAUCGGCCACACUGGAACUGAGACACGGUCCAGACUCCUACGGGAGGCAGCAGUAGGGAAUCUUCCGCAAAGGGCGAAAGCCUGACGGAGCAACGCCGCGUGAGUGAUGAAGGUCUUCGGAUCGUAAAACUCUGUUAUUAGGGAAGAACAUAUGUGUAAGUAACUGUGCACAUCUUGACGGUACCUAAUCAGAAAGCCACGGCUAACUACGUG